rnacentral:rRNA from 1 species
GUGAGGAAUAUUGGUCUAUGGGCGAGAGCCUGAACCAGCCAAGUCGCGUGAAGGAUGAAGGUUUUAUGAAUUGUAAACUUCUUUUGCAGGGGAAUAAAGUGCAGGACGUGUCCUGUUUUGUAUGUACCCUGAGAAUAAGGAUCGGCUAACUCCGUGCCAGCAGCCGCGGUAAUACGGAGGAUCCGAGCGUUAUCCGGAUUUAUUGGGUUUAAAGGGUGCGUAGGUGGUUUGAUAAGUCAGCGGUGAAAGUUUGCAGCUUAACUGUAAAAAUGCCGGUGAAACUGUCGGACUUGAGUGUGAAUGAGGUAGGCGGAAUGCGUGGUGUAGCGGUGAAAUGCAUAGAUAUCACGCAGAACUCCGAUUGCGAAGGCAGCUUACUAAGCUACAACUGACACUGAAGCACGAAAGCGUGGGGAUCAAACAGGAUUAGAUACCCGGGUAGUCC